rnacentral:rRNA from 1 species
UACGUAGGGUGCAAGCGUUAAUCGGAGUUACUGGGCGUAAAGCGUGCGCAGGCGGUUCUAUAAGACAGAUGUGAAAUCCCCGGGCUCAACCUGGGAACUGCAUUUGUGACUGUAGAGCUGGAGUACGGCAGAGGGGGAUGGAAUUCCGCGUGUAGCAGUGAAAUGCGUAGAUAUGCGGAGGAACACCGAUGGCGAAGGCAAUCCCCUGGGCCUGUACUGACGCUCAUGCACGAAAGCGUGGGGAGCAAACAGG